CUCUCUCCUUCUCCUCCAUAAUUUUGUCUCGAUUUAUCCCUCUUUGGUUUUGCGAUUUUGAUUUGAUUUUUCUUAUCCUCUCCUCAAUUUCGAUUCAUGGGAGUUGGAUUACGAUCCGAGCGAACCAUCGCUUCUUAAUUUCGAUGGUUUGUGGCCAUAAAUCGUUUGCUCCCGAGAUCAAUUCGUGGCGCUUAAAGCCCUAAUCUACAUUCUAUAAAAAAUGGAUUUUGGGUUACGCUCGCCUCUAAAUUCCCAAUUGUUUGUCUGAUUUAAUUGGUUUUUUAUUUCGUUGUCUUUUUUUUGUUAAAUUUGUGAUUUUUGGCUGUGAUGACUAAUCUCAUUUCUCGAUUCUGAUCUAUGAACUGCUAAGUUUAGGACCAAAUUUUUGAUGACUUUAUUUGUGCGUGUCUGAGCCGCAUUUUUAUUUAAUAAAACUCUCAUUUUUAUGGAAUUGGAGUAGCGUUAUUUGUACACUUUUUUUAUUUAAUUACUGGUGCUGUGAUUGUAAAGAACAUUCCUCGUACUGAAUGCUGUGGAAAAUGGCAUGAUAGACUCUUUCUACACCCAUAGAAUAUGAGCACCAUUUACUUAAUUUCUUGUAGAUUAUUUUGUAAAAUUUUGAACUUUUUAGUUUUCUACAUAAUCAUAUUUUUGGUGUUUGGUUCUUAUUUUCAGAAUUAUCCAAGUAAAUGUAUGUUGUGAUUUGUUUUAUAAUUGAUGAGUUUGUGCUAGUGUUAUUUAUUUGAUUCAUCCGAUCACAAGCAACAUUUAUAGGAGAAGAGUUAUUAAACAAUUUAAAUCAAAUGAAUUGAAUGGCUACGUAUCAAUACCACUUAUCUGUUAGAUUAGAUUUAUUGCAUAAUUUUUAUCUUUCCUUUUUAAUUCUGGUGCUGUGAUUAUAAAGAACAUUCCUCGUACUGAAUGCUGUCAAAAUCAGCAUGAUAGACUCCUUCUACACCCAUAGAAUAUGAGCACCAGAGCCUUAACUCACCGUAGAAUCAUAACUUCUAUCUAAUUUUAUUUGUACCAUCUUAGCCAAUCUUACCACAGUCGGUAUCUUCAUUGUAUUUGCGGAUUUUCUAGUUGCAAUUUCGUGUCGCUGCUGUGUGCUAUCUCUGACAUUUUGUGUGUUCCCUUUGCAUAGUGAGGGGCUUGCCGAGAACGCAGCCGAAGCAAUGUUGUGUCUUGUUAGUUAUAUCUGGAAAGAAAGGAACAUGUUUAGUUGAUGCGUUUAAGUAUUCAUGUAGUUUGCUUUCGCGCUGUUGAUGAAUAUCUUGCAAAAGAGUAUCAAUCAGUUCGGCGAUACAAAUAUGAUAUGAAGAGGGCAUAUGCUGUCGAGAGAGCGCUGUGAAUCUACACAAACUCAUCCAUGAGCUAUGUUGGAGCUGCACUUAUCUCAAUAGUAAACGACCAGAUUUGAAGGAAAAUGUGCUGCGAACUUUUCACUUUUUAUGCUGCUCGCGUAAUCUUUAGCACCUCUGCCUCUUACUGUCAGUACGGGACCUUCCGGAAUCUGAUUGGCAUGAACAGACAAGCCAAGUUGGAAGAUCACAGAUUGUUCAGCAACGAGAGAUGUUUGUAGUUUGAUCGAGAUUACGAUAGAAAGAAACUAAAGUUUACUUUGUCUUUUGAAAAGCUUCUGAAGUCCUUUACCGUACAUUGAUUCUAUUGAUUCGGAUUGUAACACCUUAUUGUAUCACAAUUGUUGUUUCCAAUAAAGAUUUAACGUACAGUAACAAUUGCAUGACUC